GCUAUACAUGCAGUCGAGCGGACCGACGGGAGCUUGCUCCCUUAGGUCAGCGGCGGACGGGUGAGUAACACGUGGGUAACCUGCCUGUAAGACUGGGAUAACUCCGGGAAACCGGGGCUAAUACCGGAUGCUUGAUUGAACCGCAUGGUUCAAUCAUAAAAGGUGGCUUUUAGCUACCACUUACAGAUGGACCCGCGGCGCAUUAGCUAGUUGGUGAGGUAACGGCUCACCAAGGCGACGAUGCGUAGCCGACCUGAGAGGGUGAUCGGCCACACUGGGACUGAGACACGGCCCAGACUCCUACGGGAGGCAGCAGUAGGGAAUCUUCCGCAAUGGACGAAAGUCUGACGGAGCAACGCCGCGUGAGUGAUGAAGGUUUUCGGAUCGUAAAACUCUGUUGUUAGGGAAGAACAAGUACCGUUCGAAUAGGGCGGCACCUUGACGGUACCUAACCAGAAAGCCACGGUUAACUACGUGCCAGCAGCCGCA
rnacentral:rRNA from 1 species